rnacentral:rRNA from 1 species
GACGUAGGGUCCAAGCGUUGUCCGGAUUUACUGGGCGUAAAGAGCGCGUAGGCGGUCUAUUAAGUGAGAAGUGAAAUCUCUAGGGCUCAACCCAGAAACUGCUUUUCAUACUGAUAGACUUGAGGAAUGCAGAGGUCAGUGGAAUUCCUGGUGUAGCGGUGAAAUGCGUUGAUAUCGCUUGGAACGCCGAAGGUGAAAACAGGCUGCUGGGGUUGCGCCGACGCUGAGACGACGAAAGCCAGGGGAGCAAACGGG